GCUAGUAAACAAGGAUAUCUAGAUAUUGAUUCUGGACUAGUAAUGUUUCACAUGAUAAUCUUUGAUUGCUCCGUGUGAAUAAAUCUACACCUGCAUGUUUUUUUACAAAUGCAGUACCACUAGUAUUUCUGAAUAAAUGAACACUUUGAGUAUUGUGUUCUAAUUAUUCUCUUCAUUUCUGAUUGUUGAAUUUCUAGCUUGCACAUAUCCUAAACUUGUAAGGUGCCCUAGAGAUGAUAGAGGAAAGGGUGGCGGGUUCAGCUUGACUUCCUCCACUUGGACGUCGGGGACAAGAACGACUAUGAGAAUGUCCUCAAGGAGGUGACAGCGGUGAUGGCGCCUCGGUUAGAUGAAGGAAUGUCAGGGCGCCCAGGUAGAGGACGGUGACUUCCUCCUCCUCCACUUGGAUGAUGCCGCCGCCGGGGACAAGAACAAACGACUAGAUUUUCUUGCUGCCACUUGUCCUGAAUAUGGACGGUGCCUUCGAUCUGAAAAAUGGGUGGCCGAGCUGCUGCUGCUACUUAGGCUUUGAUACGAUGGGCUGCUGUUGUUGACCACUUCAACACACCGGUUCAGGGUUGGGUGCAGUGGUGCUUGUAGAGCCCACUGCCGGUGGUGGCGGUGAUGGCUUCGUGCAUGAAGGUCUAGGAGGGUGCCUAGGUACAUAACGACGACUUCCUCCUCCACUGGGGCGCACGCUGCCUCCUGGGACAAAAACAAACCACUAGGGUGUCUUAGAGCUAAAAAAAUGGGUGGCGGUCGGUUGAGGACGAAUUCAUCCACUUGGACAUUGUCGCGAACAAAAAUGACUGUGAGUUCAUAUGCAGAAGGCUGUUGCAGUUUUAUGGUGCUGGAGGUUAGCGGUGAAGAACAAGGACGCACUAGGAGGAGGGAGGCUGCAGGAAUGGCGGUGGGGAGGCAAUCUUCUGCCCGAGCUGCAGCUGCUGCUGGCAUCUACGUCCCUGAGUUGUUGCCACCCUGACCUGCGAGCAUCUGUGUUGAUUAAGUGAAGAAACCGGUUGCUUCCCAUCCCUGAUCCAAUUGUUGAUCCAU